CAAGAAGCAGAACUGAGAAACUCUCAAAUAAGGAGGCGCACUGAGCCGAAGUCCAAGAACCAACCCAAAGGCUGUUUGUUUGCUUGCCCUCAAGAGCAUUGAGUGCCCAUUUGUUUUCUGGAUUCCUUGUCUGGAAUUUAGCUGACUCAUCCUGACAAAAGCAAAGGGAUGGGGGAAGUUUGUAAUAAUCUUCAGAAGACUAUACAAGAAGCAACUAAACCUGAAGAAGGGACACCCAUCCUGAAACAAGGACAUAGAAUACCCCGGGAACCCUUGUUGUUUUUUGCUGUUGCUUUCUUUGAAUGUACAUUCUGAAGACUCUUUCUUGCUUG
rnacentral:lncRNA from 11 species